UUUCAACGGAGAGUUUGAUCCUGGCUCAGGACGAACGCUGGCGGCGUGCUUAACACAUGCAAGUCGAGCGGUAAGGCCUCUUCGGGGG
rnacentral:rRNA from 1 species